rnacentral:rRNA from 1 species
UAAGGAAUAUUGGUCAAUGGGCGGAAGCCUGAACCAGCCAUGCCGCGUGCAGGAAGACGGCCCUACGGGUUGUAAACUGCUUUUGUACCGGAAUAAACCCCUCUACGUGUAGGGGGCUGAAUGUACGGUAAGAAUAAGGAUCGGCUAACUCCGUGCCAGCAGCCGCGGUAAUACGGAGGAUCCAAGCGUUAUCCGGAUUUAUUGGGUUUAAAGGGUGCGUAGGCGGCCUAUUAAGUCAGGGGUGAAAGACGGUAGCUCAACUAUCGCAGUGCCUUUGAUACUGAUGGGCUUGAAUGCAGCUGAGGUAGGCGGAAUGUGACAAGUAGCGGUGAAAUGCAUAGAUAUGUCACAGAACACCGAUUGCGAAGGCAGCUUACUAAAGUGCGAUUGACGCUGAGGCACGAAAGCGUGGGGAUCAAACA